rnacentral:rRNA from 1 species
GCCGGUGAUAUUAGCGAUGAAGAAACACCCGUUCCCAUUUCGAAUACGGAAGUUAAGCUCCUCAGCGCCGAUGGUACUAUAGUGGCAACGCUACGGGAGAGUAGGACAUUGCCGGCU